UACAGAGGUGGCAAGCGUUGUUCGGAAUUACUGGGCGUAAAGGGCGCGUAGGCGGCCAUCUAAGUCAGACGUGAAAUCCCCCGGCUUAACCUGGGAACUGCGUCUGAUACUGGAAGGCUUGAGUAUGGGAGAGGGAUGUAGAAUUCCAGGUGUAGCGGUGAAAUGCGUAGAUAUCUGGAGGAACACCGGUGGCGAAGGCGGCAUCCUGGACCGGCAUUGACGCUGAGGCGCGAAAGCUAGGGGAGCAAACGGG
rnacentral:rRNA from 1 species